AAAAGAUUAGUUAAAUUAUAACAUUUAAAUGUCAUUUAAAAAUUAUUAAAAAAUUAUUUAAUAUCUUUUU
rnacentral:tRNA from 1 species